rnacentral:rRNA from 1 species
GAUGAACGCUGGCGGCGUGCCUAACACAUGCAAGUCGAGCGGCAGCGAGGGGUGCUUGCACCCUGUCGGCGAGCGGCGGACGGCUGAGUAACGCGUGGGAACGUGCCCCAAAGUGAGGAAUAACUGCCCGAAAGGGUAGCUAAUACCGCAUAUUAUCUACGGAUCAAAGGAUUUAUCCGCUUUGGGAGCGGCUCGCGUCGGAUUAGGUAGUUGGUGAGGUAAUGGCUCACCAAGCCGACGAUCCGUAGCUGGUCUGAGAGGAUGACCAGCCAGACUGGAACUGAGACACGGUCCAGACUCCUACGGGAGGCAGCAGGGAGGAAUCUUCCACAAUGGGCGAAAGCCUGAUGGAGCAACGCCGCGUGCAGGACGAAGGCCUUCGGGUUGUAAACUGCUUUUAUAAGUGAGGAAUAUGACGGUAACUGAUGAAUAAGGAUCGGCUAACUACGUG